rnacentral:lncRNA from 1 species
UGUUUUAUGACAAAAUUAUCCUUUAUGACAAAAUUACCUUUUAACUUCCUCUUUGUCUUUAUAAAUUUAUCAUUACAGAGAAAACUGUUUUUAUAUUUUUAGGGGGCAACUCACAAUACAUUACAAACAGACAGUAGGCUUUCAAUAAAAUUUUGGGCUUUGCUUUUAUAUUACUUUCUUCUCCAUAUAAAAGGACAAUUUCAUCUGGAAAUCAAAGUGAAGUAAAAUGUUAUUGUUAUUGUGUUGUAAACUUUUGAUAAGGAUACUUUCUAGAUAAUGACUAAAGAAUUGGUCAAGGAGUUGUCAAUUUCUAUCUUUUCUUUUUUCUUUUUAUAUUUCACUUAAUUUAAAUUUUUUCCCAACUGGGAUUUCAGAUAUUAUUUUCAAAUAUUUUAUUAUAGUGUAAAAAUCAUUUCAAUGAAAUCAAAUUGGAAAAGUCAAAAAUAGGUAGGCCUACUUAGAUUGAAAUGCAUACUCUUUAGUAUAGGCAAUUAUCCAUUAAUGCAUCUCUUAGCAUCAAUCAACUUUGAAUAAAAUUUAUUAAUAGCAUCAGAAAUUAAAUGAUAGCAUGUCUAUUAAUUUAAUCACAAAAAUAGAUUAUGCAAAUUUAAAUAAUAUUUGUCACUGUUACUAAAUUUUUUUAUCGAUGUUCUUAAUUCGUGGAAAGAAGAGAGUGAGAAGAGAGAGAAAGAGAGGAGAGAGAGAGAAGAGCGAGAUAAAUCAUAUCAACAAAGUUUUGACAAACAGUUUAUAUAAAUCAAAAAUAAACAAAUAUACAAUUUAUUUUACACGUGUGAUAUUGACAGUUACAAUUUUAUUUGCUCAACCGCUCAUCAUCCUUUUGGAAGUCAUGAUUUCAUUCUCUCAACUACUCAUCAUCCUCUCGGCGGCUCUCAAUGCUUUGAAAUUAAAAUAUAUUCUAUCUUCAUCCCACAAAAGAAAAAUUUAAACUUUACGAGCUUUCAUAUGAAGGUUCCUCCUUAUCCAUAUUCAAUUAUAACUUUUUUUCACCAUUCUCUUCCAUAAUAUAUUCAUUAAACUUAUUAAUGGGGAUAUUUGUGAGGUGAUAGAGAGUCGGUUGCAAAGGUAUGAUAUGCGAUCGAAGGGCGAGUCUUUGACAAGAAACAUAUAGGUUUUUGUAUGCCUGUCCCAUGGUGGAGAUGAACACCAACCCAAAAGCAUGGUGCAUGUACUACUGACUCAGAAAAUGUCAUUCAUGGUGACAGUGAGAUUUUCUUUUACAUAUUCUGUAGUCUCUUUUAUUUCAUUUGUAUUUUGAUUAUAUUUCUUCUUUUAAUAAUAAGAAUAUUUUUAACCAUGUAGUCUCUUUUAUUUCAUUUGUAUUUUGAUUAUAUUUCUUCUUUUAAUAAUAAGAAUAUUUUUAACCUCUGUUUUGAUAAUGGUUUUUCUAUUCCGGAGCUUGCAUAUGGGAGAUUAUUUCUUUAUAUUUUUACAAACUGUGUUAUUCAUAAUCAAAUUUAUCUUUGGUAUAUAGAUGUUGUUAAUAACAAAGAUUCUCUGAUUCCAAAAAUCAUAAAGGUUCGAUAUGGACCCAAAGAUGAAUUUGGAGAGUUUCUCACUUCCCAUUUUCUAAACAGCAUCUAACUUGAAUUGAAAUAUGUCAAAUUUUGUCUCUCUAUUCAACUUAAACACAAUAUUUUCUCUUGCAAUUACACAUAUUACAUUUUUUUCCAAAUCUAUAUUGACUUUUUUAUUCUUGACAGUAAAGAUUAACAUUUAGUUGUGAACAUAAUGCUAUAAAUAUGAAUAUUUCGUUUACCUGCCAUUGAAUCAAACUCUUUUAUUUGUUUGGUUUUUCUUUUCUGAUGGUAAAUACUAAAUAUAGAGUUUUUAAUGAGUUUGGUGAAAGUAUAUAUAUAUAGUUAUAGUUUAAGCAUUUUGGUGUAGCUUUAUGUUUGAUGGUGAUAUAAGUGUAUUUUAGGAACCACAAUACAAGUUACAACAGAGUGAGGUUUCAAUAAAAUUUUGGAGUUUGGUUUUAUAUUACUUUCCUUUCUCCAUAUAAAAGGACAAUUUUCUCAUUUGGAAAAUCAAAAGUGAAGUAACAACGUUAUUGUUGUUGUGUUGUAAACUUUUGAUAAGAGAAUACUUUCUAGAUAAUGACUAAAGAAUUGUAGGGUUGUCACUUUCUAUCUUUUCUUUUUUCUUUAUAAUAUUUCAACUUAAUUUAGAUUUUUUCCCCAACUUUGGUUGCAUUUUUCAUAUAUUUAUUUUUCAAUAUUUUCAAUUAUAGUGUAAAAAUCAUUUCAAUGAAAUCAAAUGGAAAAGUCAAAAAUAAUGUUAGGCCUACUNNNNNNNNNNNNNNNNNNNNNNNNNNNNNNNNNNNNNNNNNNNNNNNNNNNNNNNNNNNNNNNNNNNNNNNNNNNNNCGUCGAUGAUAGAUAGAACUACAUAAUCGAUUCUUAAUUCAGAGGUCACAGUUUGAGAGCGCCGAGAGAGAUGAGUCGUGAGAAAUGAAAUCUGACUUCCAAAGGAUGAUGAGUGGUUGAGCAAAUAAAAUUGUACUGUCAAAGAGAAUGAUGGUCGGUUUGAGAGAUAUGAAACAAGAAAUAUAUGUAGCGUUAAUUGAUCCCAAUGUACAUGAAAGGUUGGUUUAUAUAAUGUGAUGAGUACGCAAAUUAAAAAUAUAAAAAGUUUUCUCUUAAUGAUAAAGUUUAAAGCAGAGGAAUGUUAAAGUAUUAUUAGUCAUAAAGGAAUAUUUUUGUCAAAUAAUAACAGUUUCCUGUAUUAUAAAUUUAUAAAUCAACAGGAAGUUAAAGGAAGUUAAAGGGUAAUUUUUUCAUUUAAGGAACAUAUCGACAUUCAUUGUGUAAGCAUACACUAACCGGAACACAAACAAAUUCAUCCUUUCUUCCUUUAUUUUUCUGAUUUUUUAUUAUUCAUUUCAACCAAUUUAAUUUUCGCAAUUUUUUAUCAAUUUUCCAUUAUUGUUUUGGAUCAGGUGCUCCCUCACUUCUCUUAUAUGAAGAUGUUCCAUUUCACUUAUAAUCCGAAAUAAAUUUUGGUCGCUUUUUAAUAUCACACGUGUAAAAUAAAUUGUAUAUUUGUUUAUUUUUGAUUUAUAUAAACUGUUUGUCAAAACUUUGUUGAUAUGAUUUAUCUCGCUCUUCUCUCUCUCUCCUCUCUUUCUCUCUCUUCUCACUCUCUUCUUUCCACGAAUUAAGAACAUCGAUAAAAAAAUUUAGUAACAGUGACAAAUAUUAUUUAAAUUUGCAUAAUCUAUUUUUGUGAUUAAAUUAAUAGACAUGCUAUCAUUUAAUUUCUGAUGCUAUUAAUAAAUUUUAUUCAAAGUUGAUUGAUGCUAAGAGAUGCAUUAAUGGAUAAUUGCCUAUACUAAAGAGUAUGCAUUUCAAUCUAAGUAGGCCUACCUAUUUUUGACUUUUCCAAUUUGAUUUCAUUGAAAUGAUUUUUACACUAUAAUAAAAUAUUUGAAAAUAAUAUCUGAAAUCCCAGUUGGGAAAAAAUUUAAAUUAAGUGAAAUAUAAAAAGAAAAAAGAAAAGAUAGAAAUUGACAACUCCUUGACCAAUUCUUUAGUCAUUAUCUAGAAAGUAUCCUUAUCAAAAGUUUACAACACAAUAACAAUAACAUUUUACUUCACUUUGAUUUCCAGAUGAAAUUGUCCUUUUAUAUGGAGAAGAAAGUAAUAUAAAAGCAAAGCCCAAAAUUUUAUUGAAAGCCUACUGUCUGUUUGUAAUGUAUUGUGAGUUGCCCCCUAAGAGAGAGAGAGAGAGAGAGAGAGAGAGAGAGGAGAUAAAUCAUAUCACAACGUUUUUUACAAAAACAAUUUAUAUUAAAAUCAAAAUUAAACAAAAAAUACACGUUUAUAUUUUGACACGUGUGAAUAUUAAAAAAAGUGGACAAAAAAUUUAUUUGGAUUUAAAGUGAAAUGAAAACUCUUAUAUAAGGAGGAAGUGAGGGAGCACCUAGAUCCAAAACAAUAAUGGAAAAUUGGAGAAAAAAUAGGGAAAUUAAAAUUAGGGUUUGGAAAUGAGUAAUAAAAAAAAUUAAGAAAAAAAUAAAGGAAGAAAGAUGAAUUUUGUUUUGUUUGUUGUGUUAGUGUAUGAUUAACGAAUGAAUGUGAUAUGUAUCCUUAAAUGAAAAAAUUACUCUUUAACUUCCUUUAACUUCCUCUUUGGAUUUAUAAAUUUAUCAUUACAGAGAAAACUGUUUUAUGACAAAAUUACCUUUUAACUUCCUCUUUGUCUUUAUAAAUUUAUCAUUACAGAGAAAACUGUUUUUAUAUUUUAUUUUUCUACUCAUCACCACAUAAUAAAACCAACCUUCAUGUACAUUUGAGAUCAAUUAACCGCUACAUAAUUUCUUGGUUUCAUUCUCUCAACCGACCAUCAUUCUCUUGACAGUUACAAUUUUAUUUGCUCAACCGCUCAUCAUCCUUUUGGAAGUCAUGAUUUCAUUCUCUCAACUACUCAUCAUCCUCUCGGCGGCUCUCAAUGCUUUGAAAUUAA